UGUUCGGCAUCGAUAUGGGGAUCCCGGGGAAGCUCGGGGUCCCCAGGUUGCCUAAGGAGGGGUGAACCGGCCCAGGUCGGAAACGGAGCAGGUCAAAGCUCCCGUGCCCAUCAG
rnacentral:sRNA from 1 species